rnacentral:lncRNA from 1 species
UCCUGCUUUCCUGACCCUCUCCGCCAUUUAAAGAAACAGUACCGGGGGCGGGCCGAGCGACGCAGCCGGGACGGUAGCUGCGGUGCGGACCGGAGGAGCCAUCUUGUCUCGUCGCCGGGGAGUCAGGCCCCUAAAUCGAAGAAGCCCUGGCGCGCCCUCCCCCCCUCCCGGGUCUGGUAGGGCGAAGGAACGGGCGUGCGGUCGAUCGAGCGAUCGGUUGGCGGCUCUUUCUCCUGCUCUGGCAUCCAGCUCUUGGGGCGCAGGCCCGGCCGCCGCGGCGCGCGCCCGGUGGCCGUUGGCGCUCGCGCCGCGUCUUUCUUCUCGUACGCAGAACUCGGGCGGCGGCCUAUGCGUUUGCGAUUCGACGAGGAGUCGUCCGGGUGGUCGGCGGCGGCGGGCAGCUGCUCCGCCCCGCUCCGGGGGAGGCGGCGGCGGCAGCGGCCGCGGGAUUUGGAGCGGCCGGGGAGGCGGGGGUGGCCGGGGCCGGCUUGGAGGCCUGGCGCCACCCUUCGGGGCCUGCAAGGACCCAGUUGGGGGGGCAGGAGGGGGCCGGAGGAUGGUUGGUUGUGGGAUUUCUACUUUGCCUUUUCCUCCUUAUGCCGCCUUAGUGAGGGGCGGGAGCUCUGGCGGCAGCCCCGGGGUGGGGAGACGAGCUCCGGAGUCGGAAGAGCUGGGUUUUCUUCCGGGCCUAGCCACCAGUUGGCGGAGUGACCUUAGGCGAGUCACUCUGUAAUUUGUCUGCGCCUCAGUUUCCUCCUCUGCCUAUCAAUGUGUGUGGGGUUGAAAUCGCUUUGUAAACUAUAAAGCGUGGGUGUACGUAAAGGAUGGUUAUUGUUUAUAAUUUUUUUUGAGUUGUAAGAAAACUUAGCAGUUCCCCAAUCCUUGGGUUUUGAACCUGGGAACCUUGGAUUGGAGUUGGGGAUCCCCAAACUUCCUGAAAUUGUGGGAAUGUGCGGUUUGGGGGAAUGAUGGGAAUUUGUGGGAAUGUGCGUUUUAGGGGAAUGAUGAUCCAUCGCUAGCAAGUUUUCCAAGGGGGCUGUGACCCAGAAGAGUUAAGAAUCACAAUUUCUUCAUGCUACAGAGAGGAAACUGAGGCCUAGAUGUCAUUUGGGACCCUUCACAACCAUUUUGAAGCCCUGUUUGAGUCCCUGGGAUAUGUGAGCUGUUUCUAUGCAUAAUGGAUAUUCGGGGUUAACAACAGUCCCCUGCUUGGCUUCUAUUCUGAAUCCUUUUCUUUCACCAUGGGGUGCCUGAAGGGUGGCUGAUGCAUAUGGUACAAUGGCACCCAGUGUAAAGCAGCUACAAUUAGGAGUGGAUGUGUUCUGUAGCAUCCUAUUUAAAUAAGCCUAUUUUAUCCUUUGGCCCGUCAACUCUGUUAUCUGCUGCUUGUACUGGUGCCUGUACUUUUCUGACUCUCAUUGACCAUAUUCCACGACCAUGGUUGUCAUCCAUUACUUGAUCCUACUUUACAUGUCUAGGCUGUGUGGUUGGUGGUGAAUAGGCUUCUUUUUACAUGGUGCUGCCAGCCCAGCUAAUUAAUGGUGCACGUGGACUUUUAGCAAGCGGGCUCACUGGAAGAGACUGAACCUGGCAUGGAAUUCCUGAAGAUGUUUGGGGUUUUUUUCUUUCUUAAUCGAAAGUUAACAUUGUCUGAAAAGUUUUGUUAGAACUACUGCGGAACCUCAAAAUCAGUAGAUUUGGAAGUGAUUCAAAGCUAAACUUUUUCCUUGGCCCUCCUUGUGUUCUAAUUGCUUGCAAGUGUAAUACUAGGAUGUCCAAGAUGCCAGUUUUUGCUUCUUUGUUAGUUGUCAGCUGCUUUUAUCAAAUUUCAGGCCAUUAUCCAACAAACACUAUAAAAAUGUUUGAACAAUUGGAUUUCAAACAUUUUCGUUUUGUGGAGUGGUGCUCACCAAGUGGUACAGCCCUAAGCAAGUGAACACAAACACAUUUAAGUGUAUUUUGUCUGAUUAGAUGUUAGCCAGUUAUGCUAUUUCAUUCAAAUGUCUGAAAAAAUCAAUUGACUAUUCCCUUUUCCUAAAGGGCAGAGACAGAUAAUCUCACUUCCAGAGAAAUGACUUGGAGAAAAAAAAGUGUUGGUCUUUUUGCUCUUUUGUAAUUAAAUCCGGAUGUACCUCAAAAGACUUAAGACUGUGGUGAUAAGAUGCUUUCCUCAGCAGAAAGGAGGGAAAAAAAACAACUGGAACUCAAAGCUUGAAAUUCUGUGGCAAAACAUGAGAUGUCCAGGAUUGGAGGUUGAAAAGAUUUCACUACAGUGUUCUGCAAUAGUUGGAGCAGAUAACUUUCAGUGUAGCCACAGCCAUGGACUCCAGAUUUCCAGAUUUUCAAGACCUGGACCUGGAACCCGAAAGAGCUUGUCACGAUGCGGCAGGAACACUGGAGGUAGAUUUUUUUUUAUUUUUGAAUUUUGGGACUGUUGACCUUGCUGUGAGAAAAGAGACAACGACUGAGCAAGCACUACCACCAGCACUGUUACUGGGAAUUAGAAGACCUGAGUUUCUGUCCAGACCCUCAGUGCAAACUGAGGAUGCUCCAUCCAAAGUGAAUUAUGAUAGCAGACUCCUUGAAAGCAGGGUCCUUGUUUAGUGCAUCUUUGCCCACAUACACCACAACAUAUCAAGAUGCAUUUAUUAGGAAGGAGGAGUUUAGAGAGCAGGCUAUCAGAAUAACCACUCACCUACAGACCUGGUACCUGGAUUUUUGCCCGAGAUGAUUCCUACCACCUUACUACUGACGAAGACACCCAUUCCAGUGGACCACUGUGACCCAGGAGGCAUUCAGCCAUCAUGAUGUGGCCUUUACCUCCACUCCUGUCUUGUUCUACCCAGAUUCAGCACAGCCCUUUAUAGUGAAGUCAGAGUCCUCAAGCCAAAUAGCUAAAGCUGUUUUAUCACAACAAAGGCCUAGUUUGUUCCAUGAGUGUGCAUUUCAUUUCUUCAGUUAAAGCCUUCAGAGACACACAAUAAAUUUGGACCAGGGGAUUUUUUAGUUAUUAAUGCUCUCUGAAGAAAGGCAACAUCUUUUUGAGAGCAGCAUUGGACCACACCCCACAAUCUCAAAUGAUUGAAAUUCAUGAACAUCUAGGAUCCCGUGAAGGUCACUGGACCCUGUUUUUUCUACUUCAAAUCCUGUAGUAGCCUACUGAAUGAGAAAACAUAUUCUGACCCAUUGGGAUCAAAUCAAAGGCACAGUGAACUCCUCAUAGCAUCUUCUUUGGAAUUACUCAGGAACCAGAACUUUUUACACAAAUGUAAGAAAUUCUACCAAGGAGUCCCCUUACCUAACAGCAUCUCACAAGGCUGCACCAGAUUCCAGAAAAGGCUUCUCUUGAUACAUCAAGGUAGAACCUCUAUGCAUUUUGUGACCGACUUAUUCUUAGAUCAUUGGUUUUCCAAAGGCUUUGUGGCCAUGAAGCCCUUUGAGUGAAAACUGUGCAGAAGCCCAGAGUAAAAGUGAAGCUGCUCUGGAUGAAGUAGUGAAGCAAGAGUAGGGGCCUGAAUCCUGCUACAACUAUCUUCCUUUACCACCGUGGUGACACCUAAGGGGACUUCCUUACAACACCUUGAACUCUUCCGAACACAGUUUGAAAACCACUGCCCCAGACAGCAAUAUGUUUGACCUGAAUGGCAUUCCAAUCUUUUCUGUACCUCCACUCAGCACAGUUCAUGUUCAGUAGAUGCUGAACAUUCUUAGAAAUACUGUGUGUGAACUUAGAAAAGUGCAAGAAGACAGGCAUGUCUUUGACCCCAGGAAUGAUCAUUUGCUGAAGAUGGUGUCAAGUGAACCUAGAUUAACAGCCCUCCACUCCAGAUGGAUAUCCAGUGAUUCCUAGAAUGGGAUAUAGCCAGAGAACAAUUCUAUGCACCCUACACUGACAGACUCCCUUAAGCAACACCAGAUGCUCUACUGGUACUUGAAGUACAUGACUUUGAAGUCUUGACCCUCCAUGAAUACCUGAAUUAUCAGCAAGCGGGUUUUGAAGCUGGUGCCUCAUUGAGGCCAUAUUAGAGCAACUUGUACAUUUGACCUCUUGUUAUCAGCCAUGGUACUCUACUUCGUGUGCAAGAGAUAACUAUGAAAGCCAAAUUCAAAUACUGGCAACAUUUCCUAAAGGGGCUCAAUAUCUAUCAUUCGUCUUCUUUUCCAAACUACACAUCACUGUAUGACUCAACCAGUAGCAGUUAUAUUGCCCCUUGGUUUUUAUUCAGUUUAACUACUGUUUCCAAGAUAAAUGAGCUAAUAAGCUUUAAAAAAAAAAAAAAAAAAGGCUGAAUUCUUUUUUCUUCAUCACUGGCAUAUCUGCCUAUUCUCCAGAAUUAUUAUGACUAUUCAGCUCACUUUAACAGUUGAACUUCAAGCGACAAUCUUUGAACACCCCUUCUCAUGUGAUUUAAAAUGAAACCAUUUGGAAAAGUUUCUUCUAGCCAGUAAUAGAUUUUUUUUUUAAUUGCUCUGCCUUGUGCCGAGAGAUGUUCUUUUAAGAUGAAUCUUUUGAUGUCUGAUACCACCAAAUAUAGGUGGUAGGGAGAGUUGGAGGCUGGCCCUUUGAGCAGGCCAUUAGCUUACUUGCUGGGCAUUUCCGAUAGCUUAUUGCCUACCUUUUUGCUGGAAACAAACUGAUUUGAAAAACAAAAUCUAUGAAGACUGCAGCUAAGGAUUUUAUCGGUAGACUUAAGAGCUUUUGUCCUUGUGGAUAUUUUAGUGGAACCACAUCAGUCUCAAUACUGUCAUUUUACACUGACUCAGAGCAGCUGACUUCAUUCCUUGCCAUGAUAUAUAUUUAAGGCAGGCAUUGUAACAGACAUAAAGACAACUUAUCUGUUUCAGCAGGAAGGAUUCAGUUUAUGAACUCUCAGACCAGAUCAUGUUGAACAAGGAGACUUUGAUGUGUGUCAUGAGAAAACUCAUUCUUUACUUCCCAGUCAAUUUAAAGGCCAGCUAUCCUGAGCUACUCGAAUGAAUGCACUGGUUAAACAUUGGAAAUAGUUUGUUUAUAUCCUUGUCUCUCUCUAGGCCAAUUGUGAUUACAUGACUCGACUCUACAUCUCGUCAAACAAGGCCUAGGUCUGGUUGCUGUAGACUGCUCGCCCUCAACAAAUAAAAUCUGGUUGACUAGCCUCCUUGUAUAUACAACUAUUAUUUGUUAAGAAGAAAUUAUCGUCAAUUUUCUACUACCUUCCAAUUGUCAGCUCUUUUUUUCCUCUCUGGUUUUUCCUAUACUUUACAGAAAAAGACAUUGAUCUAUACUGCCAUUCCCUCUAAUCCUGCCAUACUCAGUCAAAAGGAAUGACUUAAGAUGAAGAUGAUCAUCUGCUCGAGUCUAAAAUAUACAUUGUAUAUAAGAAUUGGUGAUUAGAAAAGCAAAAAACCUAAAACUUAAAUCUAGGAGUCUGUAUACUGUCUCCAUGUCUCCAUGCCUCAGAUCUCAUCUAAAUCUUUGAACAGCACCAUUCAACCAAUCUGAGGCCUUGACUUGCUUGUAAGAUGAUUCUCAGAGAUCGGCUGAGUUAAAAAAGAUGACGACUUGAUUACCAAAGAAAGUAGGGCCAACUUUGACAAAUCUGGCUCUGCUGACCCUGUCACUCCCAGAUGUAGCAUAGACUCCUAAACAGAACCUCAAGUCUGAUUGAGGAUAAGGCCUUCUCCUGAGCUGAAAGUUCUUUGGCAGAUGAGCAAGAAACUGAAAGCUGAUGUACCUGACUGGCUCUGUAAGAUCAGAAAACUGUAUCCAGAAUAAGCCCUAUGGAUUAACCCCUGAGUACCCAGAGUAAAAACUAAUUUACAGAACUUCCUUAUUGAUCUGCUGGUUCUUCCAGAUCAUAUUCUGGCUAUUGGUAUGGCUGGCCUUUCUGAAGGUACCCUGCUUGUCUAUUUUCCUGACUCAGCUCUUGCCUGCCUUUUUCACAUGUUGCUGCAAUUAGACUCACCGUGAGGACUACAGUCAAUUUCAGUCUAUCUUGUGCCCAAUACAACAAGGAUUUUUAAUAGUAACAACCCACACCUCACCCACUAGGACUCAAUGUUCACAACAGGAAGGACCAUUGCUGCAUACUCCUUGACCAGCAACUUUUUUGAAGAUAUUUUUAAGUGCAGAGUAGGCCUCUAUUCCUGUAUGUAAUUGUUCAUUUUCAGCACCUGGAACCUCAUCUAUCGGGUCUGGAAGGAAUACAGCAGUUCGAAAGCCGCGUCCAUUUCUCUCCUUCAGUAGUGCAGAAAUGAGUCCGAUUCACCAGUACACACAGAACUGUACCAGUUCAACCUAGCAAAAGAAGAAAAGUUUCCACUGUACUUAAAAUUUACAGCUGACUCAAAUUGCCUCACAGAAUUAUUUGAUGUAGAAGGCUAGUUGUCUUACUUCAGAUCAGCAGGACAGUUGGGCUCUCAGACUCAUGACCACUGAGUUUGCUUGUGUUGAAACUGUGGUUUCAUCCAACAUAUGCUAUUGGACAUGAUUAUUAUUCCAUUCAAAUGGAUUACAGACUUCUUGAGGACAGGACAAACUUAUCUCUCAUGGUGUUUUUUUAGAAUACUUUUAUAACCAAGGAAGAAACCAUGCCAGCUGUUACCAUUCAACUUCUUAAGCAGAGAUUAAGCUUUUUCAUAUCUGUUCUUAUCCUGGACAUCAGUAGUUUUUAAUUGCCCAGCAUCCGUUCCAUCUUGUAACAACUCCCUGAUGUUUCUUAAAACCACCUCUUCCUAUUUUCAGUCUGUGGUUUGGACAGUCUGACCCAACCUUGAGCUUUGUGGGUGAACAUGUAAUUCAGACCUCAUCAAUCAGCAAAUCCAUCUGAACUGUGGAGGAGAAGCUCUCUUUACUGAGGGUGCUUUAGCUUUGUAGGAUGAAAACCUCAAACUAACAGGGCCUACCAUGUAGAGAAUGAAGCCAGUGCAGGGGAAAGCAGAGCCAAAAUAUGGAGAGACUUGAAUCCUGAUGACAGCGUUUGUGCCCCUGGAUCCAACCGUGCCUGAAGCUAGAAUAUCCCCUGGACUUUUCAGUUAUGUGAACCAAUAAAUACCCUUUUUUGCUUAAGUUACUUUGAGUUGGGUUUCUGUUACUUGAAAUUGAAUCCACACUAAUAUAUCUACCAACAUUGAGACUUGACAGAUCCAAGUAUUUAUUAAGCUAGAGGUCAUGGUCACUGAAAUUACUUUCCAAAGUGGAAGACAAAAUGAAACAGGAACUGAGGGAAUAUUUAAGAUCCCACAGAAGCGUAAAAAUGACAUGGUAGAAAGUAAUAGAAAACCUAAAUGUCUGUCAUUAAAGGAUAGGUUAAGGUGUGGUUCAGCCAUAUAGGAAUAUCUCGUAUCUGUUAAAAUGAAUAAAGUACAUUCAUUGUGUAUGGAAAAAUGGCCAUGAUACAUUAGGUGAAACAAGUUAUUAAUAGAAAAGUGUACAGUGUGAACUCAUUUUAAAAUGUGUGUGCUUAUGUUUAUAAAUGCAUAGAAAGGUCUAUUCACAGCUUUCUUUGAACAGUGUAGAUCACAUGAAACUUUCAACUUUAUACAUUUCUGUAUUAAUAUUUUACACUACCCACAUUAUUUUUAAACUUUAUUUUAAAUAAAGAAUUUUUAAAAUUAAA